rnacentral:rRNA from 1 species
AUUGAACGCUGGCGGCAGGCCUAACACAUGCAAGUCGAACGAGUGGCGGACGGGUGAGUAAUGUCUGGGAAUCUGCCUGCUGGAGGGUGAUAACUACUGGAAACGGUAGCUAAUACCUCAUACCCUCAUAUCUUCCCAGAUGGGAUUAGCUAGUUGGUGGGGUAACGGCUCACCAAGGCGACGAUACCUAGCUGGUCUGAGAGGAGGACCACCCACACUGGAAUGGAGACACGGUCCAGACGCCUACGGGAGGAAGCAGUGGGGAAUAUUGCACAAUGGGCGCAAGCCUGAUGAAGCAAUGCCGCGUGGAGGAAGAAGGCUUUCGGGUUGAAAAGUACGUUCAGAGGGGAGGCGUUACCCGAAGAAGAAGCACCGGCUAACUCCGUGCCAGCAGCCGCGGUAAUUC